AGCAAGGACUAGCCGGGGGGCCAGGGCUACCCUAUGCUGGAAAUGCUCUAUAUGCCAGGGUGAAUGCUAACGCUGCGGUAUCGUUGAGGUUGAUACGCCUUGCCUAGAUAGCGUCGAAGCGUCGACCCACAGGAUUGUGUAUUCUGGAGGCGGUUUCGGAGGAAACCGUUAGAAAGGAUAAGGUCAAAAUGGGUCAGGUACGGAAGUGAGCAGCUCUAAGAUCAAUAUGUGAUGCUUGUGAUAAUCGGCGUGGAGCUUAAGGGCUUGAAACGGCUUCUGAUUCGGUAACAAACGUUAGGUCCCUAUA
rnacentral:SRP_RNA from 1 species